GUGGGGAAUAUUGGACAAUGGGCGAAAGCCUGAUCCAGCCAUGCCGCGUGUGUGAAGAAGGUCUUCGGAUUGUAAAGCACUUUAAGUUGGGAGGAAGGGCAUUAACCUAAUACGUUAGUGUUUUGACGUUACCGACAGAAUAAGCACCGGCUAACUUCGUGCCAGCAGCCGCGGUAAUACGAAGGGUGCAAGCGUUAAUCGGAAUUACUGGGCGUAAAGCGCGCGUAGGUGGUUCGUUAAGUUGGAUGUGAAAGCCCCGGGGUCAACCUGGGAACUGCAUCCAAAACUGGCGAGCUAGAGUACGGUAGAGGGUGGUGGAAUUUCCUGUGUAGCGGUGAAAUGCGUAGAUAUAGGAAGGAACACCAGUGGCGAAGGCGACCACCUGGACUGAUACUGACACUGAGGUGCGAAAGCGUGGGGAGCAAACAGGAUUAGAUACCCUAGUAGUCC
rnacentral:rRNA from 1 species